AACAAACGCUGGCGGCGUGCCUAACACAUGCAAGUCGAACGCGAAAAUCGGCUUCGGCCGAUGAGUAAAGUGGCGCACGGGUGAGUAACGCGUGGAUAAUCUACCCUUCAGUUGGGAAUAACUUAUCGAAAGGUGAGCUAAUACCGAAUAAAACUGCCUGACCACGGUCGGGUAGUCAAAGAUAGCCUCUGCUUGCAAGCUUUCGCUGAAUGAUGAGUCCGCGUACCAUUAGCUAGUUGGUGGGGUAAUGGCCUACCAAGGCGACGAUGGUUAGCUGGUCUGAGAGGAUGAUCAGCCACACUGGAACUGAGACACGGUCCAGACUCCUACGGGAGGCAGCAGUGAGGAAUCUUGCGCAAUGGGGGAAACCCUGACGCAGCAACGCCGCGUGAGCGAAGAAGGCCUCGGUUGUAAGCUCUGUCUGGAGGGACGGAAGGAAGUAGACGGUACCGUCCGGACGGAAGGCCACGGCGUAACUACGUGCCACGCAGCCGCGGUAAACCG
rnacentral:rRNA from 1 species